UGGGGAAUAUUGGACAAUGGGCGCAAGCCUGAUCCAGCCAUGCCGCGUGAGUGAUGAAGGCCUUAGGGUUGUAAAGCUCUUUUAGCAGGGAAGAUAAUGACUGUACCUGCAGAAUAAGCUCCGGCUAACUUCGUGCCAGCAGCCGCGGUAAUACGAAGGGAGCUAGCGUUGUUCGGAAUCACUGGGCGUAAAGCGCACGUAGGCGGAUUUGUUAGUGAGGGGUGAAAUCCCGGGGCUCAACCUCGGAACUGCCUUUCAUACUGCAGAUCUCGAGUCCGAUAGAGGUGGGUGGAAUUCCUAGUGUAGAGGUGAAAUUCGUAGAUAUUAGGAAGAACACCGGUGGCGAAGGCGGCCCACUGGAUCGGUACUGACGCUGAGGUGCGAAAGCGUGGGGAGCAAA
rnacentral:rRNA from 1 species